AAUUCGGGCCCUCUUUUGGAUUUUUGUCAUACUUUAUUCAAGGUGGGCCACAAUUUAUUUCUAAAGUAGAUACACAAAAAGCAGUGGAUAAGCAAAUGAUAAAAAAGUGAAGAUGGAGGUAUGUUUCAAUAAGCGUCCACCUACUAUCUACUGGGUAGUCUGCUGGGCUUGUAAGGCUGUAAAAACAACUGCAGUGUGGCCUUGGCUCUUGAGAACUUUAUACACUGCUGGCAAGAGAGGGGCCUGCAUGCUUACAAGCUGCUCCACCUGGGCCAGCUCACCUCCUAGUUGUCUCUCCUUGGGUUCUGCAAAAUGGAGCGCUCUCCCCAGGCUUACACUCGAGGUUUCCUGGGAGCAUCUGCAGUCUCCCCAGCCCUGCCCCUGUCCCCUACCGGAUGCUGGGCAAACUGAACCACUCACCUCCUCCACCAAACCCUGCCCUGUGCUCCUGGGUGCUCCUACCAGGGCCUGCAGUCUUGUCACUACUUCCCAUGUGGCCAGGAAAUAGACGUCACAAGAACAAAAGGGAGGGGACUCUGGUCAAGCAAGUCUGACAGCUGCCAAACAAACUAGACAGGCUUCUUUACCAGCCUCACGGGGUUCUCUCUGGGAACCUCAAAAAGCAGGGAUAGCAAAAUUUCUCCUACAUCACUAAGCCCUCUAAGAUGGCACACGGCCUGUGGUCGUGGUCAGUCUGGGAUGGGUGCCAGACGUGGAAGCCCCUGCCUGGAUGCUCUCUGGCCCUGCCACUGCCAGGGUCAUGCCAGGACAAGAUCAACCUAUGUUGGGGGACAGGGGUUCCCCAAUGCAACCAGCUUGCCCUUCAUUGCAACUAUCUGUGUGGUAACAAUUUAACAACUCCAAACACUUCAGAUGAAGAACAAGCUUGUCGUCUUCACAAGAUAGAGAGCACUGCCUGCUCGAAGUGACAUUUGGAGAGGGCCGCAGCAACCCCCUUCCAAGCUCAGAAGUUUCUCCACACUUUGACAGAAGAGGGACCACCGUGAACCUCAGCCCUGCACAGGACCCACAGGUCCAGAAUGCUUUGGAUUUUGGUGAAAUCUGGGUCUGCGUUCCCACUCGACCCCUUCCUGUAGGAUGAACUGGAGUUGAAAUCCUCUCUGAGUCUCAGCUUCCUUAUGAGAUUAAUAACUACCACCUUGAAGGGUUGCUCCAAGACUUACUAAAUAUAUAUAAAGAGCUUAGCCGAGCACCAAGCAGGUAAAGUGCUCAAUAAAUGGCUUUCUGCAAUUAUGAUUCUCAGUUCAUUUUCUACCUCGACAUGUUUCUGCCAUCAUAAACCUCAUUAUUUCUGCCCUAUUUUGCACAAAAGCACUUUGAUUUAUCCUCCUACAGAUAAAUCACCUUGCUCACUUCUUCAACAAAGUUAAUUGCUAUAUAUGUCAAAAAUCUCCUCCUAAAGAAUGCCAGAGCUGUUAUUUAGCAACAGAAGCAAUCGUGGAGUCUUAAUUUACAGCAGUGUUUAAUCAGCAUGUUUGCUUAUAGGCUGCCACCAUCCCUGGGAGAUGUUUCACAACUUUUGGUCUUUUACUUCUGGGCAUUCCAGUCAAUUCCUAUUCAGGGAUGUGGGGAAACUAAUAGAUGAAGCAAAUUUGCUGGUAAGGGGGUGGAUUAAUUGUAGAGUUGCUGACCCUAAGCAGACCCAAGUCAGGGCAGCUCUGUAAGCCAUUCAGGGCAGCACCUGGCCUUAGGGCAGCCAAGACAGGCCAGAGGCAGCCAACCCUCUCUCCAAAGGUCAGUCUGAACGCCAUCCAGCCCCCUGCCUCUAGGCCACCGUGAUCAUGCUUAGCAGUGCCUCAAAGGGUCUGAGCUUGAGAGUUGUUCUCUUUGAGCAAUCCAAGGGAAGAACAGAUGGUCUUCACCGAGCGAACCUGGCAAAUCACCCCCAGGGGCAGCAGUGGCCAGUGUCCCCUCUGUUUGGAAACUUAUGUCCAGCCUAGCAUGGGGGCUGAGGGCCUGGGAAGGACCACUCACAAGGCAGGGGAGAAGGGAACCAGCCAGGGCUGUCCUCCUGCCCUUACAGAGCCAGCUGCAGCUGGGAUCUGUUUCAGAAAAAAAAUAGAGACCAGGUCUUUGGCCACUCUUCAAUCUGAAAGUGGCCCCAGGGUCCCUCCGGGGUUCUGUGCGCCUCUAUCCACCCUCUGGGUGCCAUGGAGCGGGACUGAGGGCAUGGGAAGUAGCCACAUUUCUUUCUCACAACCAAAGAUUUGAGAGUCAGGCAAAUUAUAAGCCAGACAGUUUGAUGCAAGGCCCGGGACAGAAAGGGUUGCCACAUACUAGAAACACUGCAAAGAGAAGAAAAGGAGAGAAGGAAGAAGGGCCCAGAUCCCAGGGAGGAAGCCGAGCCAGAGAGGCCCUGACUCGCUGGCGCCCAGGCACUGCCUGCAGACCACUGACUGACAUCCUCAGAGCGGGGCUACCACUGUCCUCCCAAAGCCUGUCUGUUAAACACAUGCUGUGGUUAAUAAAACACUAAUUCAGUCAGGGAAGGGGUCAACAAACUAUGGUCCAUGGGCCAAAUCUGGCCCACCUUGUUCUUUACCUUAAUUUUUUCAAUUGCAGCAAAAUAUACACAACAUUUACCAUUUUAAUCUUUUUUAAGUGUAUAGUUCAGCGGGACUGAAUACAUUCACAAUGUUGUACAGCUCUCACCAUUAUCAUCCCCAGAACUUUUUCAUCUUCCCAAACUGAAGCACUGUAUUCACUGAACACUAAGUCUCCAUUCCUUCCUCCCCCAGCCCCUGGCAACCACCAUUCGACUUUCCGUCUCUAUGAACUUGACAGCGCAUAUAAGUGGAAUCAUUUUACCCUUUUGUAUCUGACUUAUCUCACUUAACCUGAUGUCCUCAAGGUUCAUCCCAUUGUAGCAGGUGUCAGAAUUUCCUUCCUUUCUAAGGUUAGGUAAUAUUCCAUUGCAUGCGUGGACCACAUUUUGUUUACCCAUUCACCCACUAAUGGGUACUUGGGUCACUUCUACAUUUGGCUAUUGAGAAGAAUGCUGCUAUGAACACGGGUAUAUAACAUCUAUUGAUGAUCUGCUUUCAAUUAUGUUGGGCAUAUAAGCACUUCCUGUUUUUAUAAAUAA